rnacentral:lncRNA from 1 species
UGUGGAUGUAUGCCUUGUAUAUUACAUAUAUAUCCUGUUUAUAUAACAAAAAUUAAGGAAAUGGGUAGAUAUAUCCCUGUGGGACAACAAUCCACCAGUAUCCAAAUAAAUGCAUGUAAUCAACUACAAAAAGGUACAUUAGAUCACCGUAUUACCUUCAACAAUGACAAUACUGUAUUGUCAGCUAUAAAAGACCCCGACAUGACAAAAAGUGAAGCAUACCAUAUUGAUGACAUAACAAUUAAAACAAGGAUAAAUGGACAUUCCUGUGCAGCAACACACGACAACCGCUGAUAAUCUGUAAUAAAAAGACAACAAUCUAACAUUAAAACAAAUGGUUUAGUUCUUUUUGCUCUACUCUAUAUCAAAUUAAAAUGGUCUUUCAAGUUCUACCUAAC